CCCCUAGAUGUUCUGGGCCGCACGCGCGCUACACUGAACAGUUCAACAAGUCUUAACCUUGGCCGAUAGGUCUGGGUAAUCUUUGAACGCUGUUCGUGAUUGGGAUAGACCUUUGCAAUUAUGGGUCUUCAACGAGGAAUUCCUAGUAAACGCAAGUCAUCAGCUUGCAUUGAUUACGUCCCUGCCCUUUGUACACACCGCCCGUCGCACCUACCGAUUGAAUAGUCCGGUGAAAUCUCGGGACGGCGGCUUGGUCGCUUGCGUCCGACUGCUGAAACUUGAUUAAACCAUAUCAUUUAGAGGAAGGUGAANUCGUANCA
rnacentral:rRNA from 1 species